CAAGUUGGAUUCGUUGCGUCCUGUGUGUGUCCUGUAGCCAGCUGUAACCUGUGCUCCUGGGGGGCGCAACCAACAGCAGUACCAGCCGCAGCAGCAACUUUCGAAGCAGCAGCCAGGAUUUUUCCAAAAUCAAAUAAAAAAUCAAAAAUAAUAAAGUGUAAAAAAUAAGUGCCAGAACAAAUAGUUCAAAAAAGAACAGUUUCCCACUAAAAAAAAAAGUCAAGACUGGAAAGGACAUCAUGGUGUUAAUCCUUUAGACAGUAGACCUAUAGCGCCAUCUAGCGACAGCUAGACUCACUAUCCCAUGGUAGCGAAAAUUAUGAUUUUUUUUGCGGCUUCUCUUUAAUGAGUUGCCGCUGCCAAAAGUAAUUUGCAUAAUUUGUGGACCGUGUCGGCGAGUUUUUCCCUUUUGUUGCUACAGUUGUUUAAUUCAUUAUUUAUUCGGCUGUCCGCUCAACACCUUCAACACAAGCAAUUACACUGGCAAUUACAAAAAAUGAAUUACGAACAGCCGACCUUGCAUGCAAUUAACAAACACACUGACACGGACACCCCAAAAACAAUGGCAUUUUUAAUUCACAUUUUGACAAUUGCAAACACAAACAUUAGUAAGUCUACUUGCUAAAAUUAAUUAAAGUGACAUUCGACUGAAAUUGAACAAGCCUGGUUAAUUACGAAAAGGACCUUUCACAAAACAAAAACGUUGCGGAAAUAAAUUGUAAAGUUGCAGAAGCGAACAGCGAAAAGCGAACAAAAAAAAACUUAAACAUAACACAAUGAAAUUCAAUUGAAAAUCAUUCAAUCAUUAAUAUGCAAAUUUUCUGCUGCCAUUACCCCGAUCUCCAACUCCUCGGAACUCCCUUCUCGGAUUUUCUUCUCAGCCCCCCAUCGUUUCAGGCGGAAAAUUUCAUUCUAAUUUGCGAUAUUAACGAAAUGGAAUUAACGGGAAUGGGACCAGGGUCUAAUGCCAUCCCACUCUGGCCUGGCCAGGAGAAGCGCAACAAGCGAUCACUGAUAAGGGUACUGAGAGUCUAGGUGAGAGCACGAAACCCACCACCCCACACACUCUCACUUUACUCUCACUACACACUCUCCCUCGCUAUCACUCUCCGCUCAGUCCGCCCGAGAGUGCCCUGACGAAUCGCCCGAUUCUUUCGCUUAUUACAGUUGUGGCGGCAUUCUCAUUUCGAGUUUCGUGGCGAGCGGACCGACGACCCGACAUGGCGGAGAGUGGAUCUACAUAAGAGGGGAGGGGUAUAGUGGCCCCAGGAUGUGCCGCCCCCUAACGGUCGGCAGCCUUGACGCAUGUGCUGCUGCCAAGUGGGAGCGAUAAAAGCGUUAUCAUAACGGGCCUUAAACGCGUUAAUCGAAACCAGCCGCCCCUCCUCCGCUCCACAGCCAUUCAGCAGCAAUUAAACGAUCCGAGGCCUCUAAUUGAAAUGCCUGAGAGCCAUUUGAUCAGCGGAAGGGGAGCACCGACGCCGGAUUGGAACCUCCAACGGGUGAGUGACUGAAUUAUCACCAUCUACUCCUUACUCAUCGGGCCCCAGUGCCACAUGGCCACGUCCACCCAUACCAGUGCAGUACCAGGGCCCGGAGCGGGCGAAGUAAUACCCAAAAUACAUACGCUUAUCGCUGAACAAAUUGCUCGGCGAGCUGAUAAGAAGGCCACAUAACAGAACUCUUACAGCGGAGAUAAGGCGGACAAAGAGGGUGCCGAGUGUGCCGAGUUGGGAUGAGUAUGUCAUUGUACGGCCCACUGGUAGUGACGUCUUCUGAGAGAUUAUCUCUCUCUCUCUCUCUGUCCAGAGCUCUUAUCUCUUUUAGAUCCUUGAGAUCCUUGUAGCAGAAACUGGCUUUUGAAAAUUUGUAAAUAAUUAAAAAGAAUUCAGAGCAACGGAUUUGUGAUAAAUGAUAUCCUGUUCUGAUGGUUCAUUAGCGUCCAGUGUCCUUGGAAACAGGAUAUUCGGGUUUGCCAGCCCCGGAGUGUUGCGGUGAACUUUGAACCGAACUAACUGCCGAACCGCAGCCGAAAAAUUGAACAGAACCAGUGUCCAUCUAAGAUACUUUUCGGCAGAGUUUCCUGUCCGUGUCCUUACACCCCUCCUCCCCCCUGCUGACUGCCUCUUCUGCCACUCCUGUGUCAUAAAUUUCGCUUUUAUCAUAUUAUUUAAUUUUGUUGUGUCUGCUUUGCGCCGCCUCUCCGCUGGGGCGGCGGAAGGAAAGCGCAAAAAAGCGAACAAACUGUGAGAUACACACAACAAACAUGCACACAGAUACUCACUAACACUAUCACACCCAUACGAAUGUGAUAUAAACACGCUGCCCCAGUGGGAGCAGCGCAAAUGAUAGCGACUGCGAACGUAUCUGUAUCUAUGCCGAAGUAUCUGUGAGUGUGCGAGUAUCUGCAACUGUGUGUGCUGGCAUGCCACAGCAAUAACAGUUAAUUUAUUCCAAUUAAGGGAUUUUCCUGUUGAAUAUGCGACUGUGAGUGAGUCCCUGCCCCCUUGCCUCCUGUCCCCCUGCCCCCUUUGCCAAAAUAUAAAUGUUAAGCCAAACACCCAGUAUCUCACCUCUUUUUUUUGUCGCUUUUUUCUGUCGAAUUGUUUGCUCGCCCCCGGGGACCCUGUCUGUUGUCUGUUUGUUGUUAGUUCUGUUGCUUCUGCUGUUGUCGCGCCACAUUUUUUCAUUAGAUUACGACACCCCAGCCCAGUCGCUCCCAGCCACAGAGUGGAAAAAAAUUAGCAACAUGUCCCUACCUUUUUCGAGUCCUUGCGGGACUAGCUGUCGGCCGUGUCCUUGGGCUAAUUUCGUAAGCCCCCUCGGCUAAUUUUGUUUAUGUUUUCAUUAAUUUCUACCUCCCCCUUAUGCCACAUGCCACAUCCUACAUCCGUCAGCGCGGGGCAUACAUUUUAAUAAAUUCCCUCGCCGAAGCCAAAACAAUUUCCAAACAGAUCGAAAGAGUUGGCGGGUCGCUGGGGCGGAAGCGAAAUUUAUGCGCACAUUGAACGCAUUGGCCCCUCAACCACCCCACACCCGCAGCACACACACAACACAACACACACUCAUUGCUUCGAUUAUUAAAAUUCUAAUUGAAAUUCAAAUGCGCGACGUUGUUGCCGACGCUUAUCGCUUAAGUGUCGGCGUUCCACAUUGCCUUCCCCAUGCCCAUGCCCCCUGGGCUCUGGCUCUGGGCUGUAGAGCUCUUGUGCCCCAUAUGCCGCCCCCUUUGUUGCCAGCCCCCCUCCGGCUUCCGCUAUGCGGGCGAUGCCAGGAAGUGGACAGUUAAGCAACCCAACUCGACCCGAAUAUGGGCAGGAGAUCAGGGGGCAGUAAAAACAUUAUUCAAAAAUAUUUCUCAUCUUGGUACUUGGUUUGAAAUUCAGACACUCACUCUUAGAUGGAGCCACCACUUCCUGUUCUUCUGCCUCACUCCGCCUUGAGAUCUAAACUCCAAUCUCCGCAUCAUUAGAUGCAAUUAAUCAAGCCCGGCCUGGUCAUGUGACGGUCUUCCAGCCUUCCUUGUAAUCUGUCAAAUUACUCAUGCAAAUCGCACGACGAGCAUGUGGCUGCGGUUCCAUCCCAUGUCCUGAUGUCCUGGUUUCGUCUUUCCAUCAAUUAGAUUGACUUUCCCGCCACCAUCUCUAUACACAGCCGGCUAUGAUUAAUCAGCGUCUUAAUCCAGAUACUACCCCUAUGCCAUCAGCCCGUACAUGCUGGGGCUGGAACGGUUUCUGUUCCAAUUGAUUGGCAUUUUCUCCAAGCCAUUUGCCUACCAAAUGAGUUCGGGAUCAAUUAUGCAGUCAGUAGACCCGCCAAACAAUGCCCUUCAAUUGAUGUCACCGAGCAGCCACUUAUCUGCAACUGCAGAGUGGCUUUUUUCCCCUUUUUUUUAUAUUUUUUUACUUUUGUAUCGCCACUCUGUGGGGACUCUAAUCUGUAGCGCUUGAAAUGGGAGCUCACUCGUGUGGCAUGUUGGCUAUCCGGCCGGGGUCUUAUCGAAAACCGCAACCCAGUCCCCGAGCUGCGACUCUGAAAUCUUGGGAAUUGGCCUUUAAUCUCGAUUCGAAGAAACCCAGAAAUGCCAGAAAUGUGAUUCCAGCUCCGCAUUCCAAUAUUUUUGCUGACUAAGAAAUGCAAAAAAAAAAAAUAAGUUAAAUAAAAAAUGAAACAAAGUCGGCAGAAUAAACACGAUA